GCUUCGGAACGUAAAAUCUGUUCAGCAGGGAGGAUAUGACAGUACCUGCAGAGGAAGCCGGCUAACUACGUGCCAGCAGCCGCGUAAUACGUAGGGGGCGAGCGUUGUCCGGAAUCACUGGGCGUAAAGCGCAUGUAGGUGGUUUUGUAAGUCAAAUGUAAAAUGCUUCAGCUCAACUGGAGUAGGCAUUUGAUACUGCAGAACUUGAGAGCAGAAGAGGAAAGCGGAACUACCGGUGUAGCGGUGGAAUGCGUAGAUAUCGGUAGGAACACCAGUGGCGAAGGCGGCUUUCUGGUCUGUUUCUGACGCUGAGAUGCGAAAGCUAGGGGAGCAAACGGGAUUAGAUACCCCGGUAGUCCUAGCCGUAAACGAUGGUCAUUAGGUGUAGGAGGUGUCGACUCCUUCUGUGCCGAAGCUAACGCGUUAAAUGACCCGCCUGGGGAGUACGGCCGCAAGGCUAAAACUCAAAUGAAUUGACGGGGGCCCGCACAAGCGGUGGAGCAUGUGGUUCAAUUCGAUGCUACGCGAAAAACCUUACCUGGGCUUGAACUGCUAGCAGUAUUUUAGUGGAAACAUUAGAUGACCGUUGAAUCGGAGGCUAGCAGAGGUGCUGCAUGGCUGUCGUCAGCUCGUGUCGUGAGAUGUUGGGUUAAGUCCCGCAACGAGCGCAACCCCCAUUGUUAGUUGCUACCCCGACUUUGGUCGGGGAGCACUCUAGCGAAACUGCCUCUGAUAAAGGGGAGGAAGGUGGGGAUGACGUCAAGUCAUCAUGGCCCUUAUGUCCAGGGCUACACACGUGCUACAAUGGCAUAUACAAAGGGCAGCCAAACGGCAACGUCGAGCUAAUCCCAAAAAGUAUGCCUCAAUUCGGAUUGCAGGCUGCAACUCGCCUGCAUGAAGCUGGAAUCGCUAGUAACUGCAGAUCAGCGUGCUGCGGUGAAUACGUUCUCGGGCCUUGUACACACCGCCCGUCACACCAUGGAAGUCAGGUGCACCCAAAGUUCCCCCGCUUGCGGGGGGCCUAAGGUGAAAUUGGCGACAGGGGUGAAGUCGUAACAAGGUAGCC
rnacentral:rRNA from 1 species